CCUCACUACCAGAGAAGUUCACGUACCCAGAUCUCAUAUCUCAACUGGUAAAGGAGUAUGGGAGGUCCUCCAAGGAUUUCUCCAUGACUAUGACUGACUACGACCCAAAGCUCAAAAAAGUAUUUCAUGUACCUCCACCCUCAUCUGCGUUGAUGGAUUAUGUUGACACCUUUCCAUCGUGACGGUCUGAAAUGGAGAGGGAGAGGAAAACUCCUGUCGCCUGCUCCAAAUCCCAACAACAGGGUGGGGCACUGCUGAGGCGUCCGUCAUUUUGCUGUUCAUCGGAACAGGACCAACAGCCUCAGGCUCUGUGGAACUGUUUCCACUCAAUGGAAAUAGAAUCCAAAUCCCUUUGAAUGAUCCAACCAUUCCUGUACAC
rnacentral:lncRNA from 1 species